rnacentral:rRNA from 1 species
GAUGAACGCUGGCGGCGUGCCUAAUACAUGCAAGUCGAGCGAACGGACGAGAAGCUUGCUUCUCUGAUGUUAGCGGCGGACGGGUGAGUAACACGUGGAUAACCUACCUAUAAGACUGGGAUAACUUCGGGAAACCGGAGCUAAUACCGGAUAAUAUUUUGAACCGCAUGGUUCAAAAGUGAAAGACGGUCUUGCUGUCACUUAUAGAUGGAUCCGCGCUGCAUUAGCUAGUUGGUAAGGUAACGGCUUACCAAGGCAACGAUGCGUAGCCGACCUGAGAGGGUGAUCGGCCACACUGGAACUGAGACACGGUCCAGACUCCUACGGGAGGCAGCGGUAGGGAAUCUUCCGCAAUGGGCGAAAGCCUGACGGAGCAACGCCGCGUGAGUGAUGAAGGUCUUCGGAUCGUAAAACUCUGUUAUUAGGGAAGAACAUAUGUGUAAGUAACUGUGCACAUCUUGACGGUACCUAAUCAGAAAGCCACGGCUAACUACGUG